CUGAUGAUGCUGCUGCCUGUGCAGAUAGACGCUCUCUGCAUCUGGAAUGUACUCCUCCUCAGUGUGGCCGAACAGACUGCAGAAAACAGGAGACGUUAACACCAAUAACUGUGGCAGUAAUCAGUUUGAGUUUAUCACUUCCUCAAAAUGACCAGAUAAAAACAACUCAGAGGACUCUUCUAGAACUAAAUUUAACGACUGCCCACAAAAGAAUCCCGAUCCAGAGAAAUGUAAAAGAUAGUGACUGAGUCGGACAAGAAGAGGCAUGUGAACUGAUGAUCCAGGAUAGUUUGGCUGGCAUGACAUAAAAAAGCUUAUUCAUCUGAUUGGUCCUUGGUUUCCUUGUCCCACUCGACCACAAUCUUCACAUGUGGAGGUCCCCCUUGUCCACAGGACUUGUACGCUCUGCAAUAAAAA